AUUGAACGCUGGCGGCAGGCCUAACACAUGCACGUCGAGCGAGCGGCGGACGGGUGAGUAAUGUCUGGGAAACUGCCUGAUGGUGGGGGAUAACUACUGGAAACGGUAGCUAAUACCGCAUACCAUCAGAUGUGCCCAGAUGGGAUUAGCUAGUAGGUGGGGUAACGGCUCACCUAGGCGACGAGCCCUAGCGGGUCUGAGAGGAUGACCAGCGACUCUGGAACGGAGACACGGUACAGACUCCUACGGGAGGCAGCAGUGGGGAAUAUUGCACAAUGGGCGAAAGCCUGAUGCAGCCAUGCCGCGGGUGUGAAGAAGGCCUUCGGGUUGUAAAGCACUUUCAGCGGGGAGGCGUUACCCGAAGAAGAAGCACCGGCUAACUCCGUGCCAGCAGCCGCGGGAAUAC
rnacentral:rRNA from 1 species